AUUGAACGCUGGCGGCAGGCUUAACACAUGCAAGUCGAGCGGAGAGAGGUAGCUUGCUACUGAUCUUAGCGGCGGACGGGUGAGUAAUGCUUAGGAAUCUGCCUAUUAGUGGGGGACAACAUUUCGAAAGGAAUGCUAAUACCGCAUACGUCCUACGGGAGAAAGCAGGGGAUCUUCGGACCUUGCGCUAAUAGAUGAGCCUAAGUCGGAUUAGCUAGUUGGUGGGGUAAAGGCCUACCAAGGCGACGAUCUGUAGCGGGUCUGAGAGGAUGAUCCGCCACACUGGGACUGAGACACGGCCCAGACUCCUACGGGAGGCAGCAGUGGGGAAUAUUGGACAAUGGGCGGAAGCCUGAUCCAGCCAUGCCGCGUGUGUGAAGAAGGCCUUGUGGUUGUAAAGCACUUUAAGCGAGGAGGAGGCUACUUUAGUUAAUACCUAGAGAUAGUGGACGUUACUCGCAGAAUAAGCACCGGCUAACUCUGUGCCAGCAGCCGCCGUAC
rnacentral:rRNA from 1 species